rnacentral:lncRNA from 1 species
UCGUACAGAUCCUGGGUGGCGUGGCUGUGGUUCUUGCCGCCCACCACGAUCGCUUCGUCUUCCAGCAAGCACUUGACUCCACACGUGGGCUUCCAGUGGAACUUCACGUAGUUGACCUUCCCUUCCUUGUUGACGAAGGUGUAGGUGUUGACGCCGAAGCCUUCCAUGUGGCGGUAGUCGGACGGGACGCCCACGUCGUCGAAGAGGAAGAAGAAGGUGUGGAGGCUCUCGGGGUGGUGCGAGAGGAAGUCGAACACCCUCCAGUACUCCUGGACGUGGGACUUGGGGUUUGGCUUGAAGGCGUGGAUCACGUCCGGGAACUUGAUGCCGUCGCGGAUGAAGAACACGGGGAAGUUGUUCCCCAGCAGAUCCCAGUUGCCCUGACGCCAUGAGACAAUCGGUGAGACCUUGGGGAGACGAGCACGAAUACUUCGGCGCAAGGGUGGAUCACAGUAGAUACCUCUCGGGUGUAGAACUUGACGGCGAACCCGCGGGGGUCUCUGAUGGUUUCAGGGCUGCCACGCUCGUGGAUGACGGUGGAGAAGCGGAGGAUGAUCGGCGUCUGGACGCCGGGCGCCCGGAGGAAGUCGGCGCAGGUGAGGUGAGUGACAUCAUGAGUGCACUCGAAGAAGCCCUUGGCGCUCGCGCCUCGGGCAUGGACGACGCGCUCCGGUAUGCGCUCCCGGGCGAAGUGAGCGAUCUUUUCGACCAGAUGGUAGUCCUCAAGGAGGAUGGGUCCUGAGAGCAACGAUAAGCUUUCAGCAGCUCACAUGAUUAAGGAUGGCUUUCCCUUCGACACCAUUCCCAUACCUCUGGAUCCCACGGUGAGGGCCUGGUCAUCGUUCCAUACGGGCGCACCAGCGUUGGUGGUGGUAAAGUUGGUGUCGAAGGAGCUCGAGGGACGGAACUAUAAACAAUAAAAAGAGAAUAUAAAUCAGAGUUCGGAAUACAUAUUACAUACUUAAAGCGUUUCGAUAUCGCGUUAGAUCUCCGGCAGAUUUCCUCCCGAGGGUACGGCUUAGCUGUCUCCACCGGCGCAGCGAGCUACAUGGAUGGUGCAGCCAUUGGUUCAAACAAGAGGGACCCACAAUCCGCUCCGGCUAUCCGCUUUCAGUGUGAUUGUGGGGCCCCUGUUUGGACCAACGAGCUGCAGGAUCGGAGCAACAUCCUGCCUCGGUGGAUACAGCUGCGCUACACCAUCACAUGAGAUCUACCGAUAACUACGUGCAACAUGAGUUAAUACGUAUGAGCAGAGAAGUGUUGCCACGGACUGCGAAUGGCUGCAGGAGCGAAGGAAGAGAGCUUCAUACCUU